CGAAAAGAGCAGAAAUUCAUCCGCUGUUUGCAGGGAGGCCGGAUUAUGUGGAAUACUUUUUUGAGGAAAAGGGUUGCUUAGUAAAAAUCUUAAGUAUUUUCGUGUAUGCCUAUUCAACUGAAAAGCUCUCUGAUCUCGGGGAUAUACUUACUGGUGGUGAAAAGAAAAGGAAAUGUAAGAAAUUCAGGAUGCUCUGGAACUCUAAAGGCAAUCAUCUCUUGGUCCUACAAUUUCCUUAAUGCCAGAUACCGUGUCUAACUAUCGUUCUUGAUAGUAACUGCAGGCGACCUGUCUUUCCAAGCAACCCUAAAAGAAAGUACCUA